AUACGUAGGUGGCGAGCGUUAUCCGGAAUUACUGGGCGUAAAGGGCGCGUAGGCGGCCAUUUAAGUUUGACGUGAAAGCUCCUGGCUUAACUGGGAGAGGUCGUUGGAAACUGAAUGGCUUGAGGCAAUGAGAGGAAUGCGGAAUUCCCGGUGUAGUGGUGGAAUGCGUAGAUAUCGGGAGGAACACCAGUGGCGAAAGCGGCAUUCUGGCAUUGGCCUGACGCUGAAGUGCGAAAGCGUGGGGAGCAAACGGGAUUAGAAACCCGGGUAGUCC
rnacentral:rRNA from 1 species